UCUAUGAACGGUAGCCAAACU
rnacentral:piRNA from 1 species